CGCAUUCACUAAAGCUCCUGGUGAAAGAGAAAAGGGGAUUAGAGAGAAGUGCGGCGGAGUGCUGAUGCAAGCUGAUGGGGAGCAUGUAUCUGCGCCGGGGCCUCGCUCCGCCCCGACAGGCUGCCUCCAACAGCGGAGGAGGCAAGAGGAGGCAGCGUUCAAGUAAAUACCGAGGGGGCAGGCUUCUCAUGAACCAGCGCCGCAGUAGCCCACAUCCAAGUUCUGUUGUGGGAGUCUAAUCGGGAGUCUUUACUCAUGACCAAUGGCACUCUCAGUGUUGGCCUUUGGAAAGACCCCUCACCCCACCUGUGACAUCAAAGUUACGGAAGAUCUUUAAAGCUAUUGCCAAGGCAGUCAAACAUCAAGAUACAGUGUGGAACAAGCCCUUACGGCCCAAUGAGCCGCACCGGCCUGCAACUCUCCUAUUUAACCUAGCUUAAUCAGAUGGCGGUUUACACUGACCAAUGAACCUGCUAACCGGUACAUCUUCGGACUGUGGGAGGAAAUCAGCAGAAACCCCUGCGCUCGUGGGAAGGACGUGCAAACUUCUUGGAGGAUGCAGGAAUUGAACUCUGUCACCUGAGAUGAAAUAAUCUUGUGCUAAGCUGCUGUGGCACCCCACACAACCAAAGGUUGACUGUCCUACUUGUGCUGAAAUAACAACUGUCACUGCAAAUCACUUGGAAGUGCUACAGACUUACACAAGGUAGCAGGUCUCAGUAGCUUGAUUGGAGCCCUGUUGAAACAGCUGUCUUCAGCUGCCAGCAGCAAUGAUGGAGCAAAUAGGAGUUCCAGUGAGAGGAUCUGAAGAAAUGAGUGCAAAAGCACUUCCCCAUGCAUUGAUGUGCUGUAGUUCUACUUCUAAAGAGACCUCCUUCCAAUACAGCUUCCCUCUGGGAAGGAGAAUUUUUUGAAUUUACUAAGGAAUGUUUAUGGCAAAAUAUUUUUAAAAACUUUGGGUAGUUGAAAUCAGACAUAUGAACAAAAAAUCCUGGAAACUCUCUGCAAAGGAGUAGCUGAACAAAACCCUGGCAAAGAGUCACUGACCAGAAAGAUGCAACCUGUUUCUCUUUCCAUGGAUGCUGCCUGACCUGUGGUUCCUGCAUUCAUUAUUGAUGCCAUGAGUGAUGAAAUGCUGGCGGUUAAACAUAUCAUGGCUAUUAGCCACAUACAGUAGCUAUUUAAUUGUAAUUUCAGAGCUCUCUUAGUUGUUGGGUUCAAAUAUGGAACACAGAAUUGAAGCAGAUAUACCAAAGGGUUCUGGUUUUCACUGAGUGAGCUAAUCUCAGUUUUCCUGGAUUUGGGAAGAGGAAAUUCAACCAGGGUUAUGCACCAAACCUUUCAUUGUUCCUUCCAUUGGCAAUGUAGUACUGACGUGAGAUGUGGCAUAUGCCUUGUAAUAAAACAUCCAGAAAAGGUUACACCUGUGUCCCAUACUUAUUAGGUACCUGCACUCCAUAACUCCCCUUCAAAUGCUCCCAUCAGUAACGGCAACUUGUAACUACUUUUGCACCUCAAAUUCUUUUUCCAGACUGCUCAAAUUCAGCAAACACACAAAUCCGUGACUAAAUAUCCUUUGUAGUUCCAGGCGAUGUAGGCUUAAACAAAUUCAAAUAUCCAACAUUAUGCUUCACUGAAAUCCUAGCAACAGAUAUAAAAUGAACAGUCCCAGAUUUAGCAUUUCACCUUUGCGAAUCACCUUCCUUAUUUGCAUAAACCUCACAACAUCUGAAACACCAGGCAUCUAAUGAAGAUUUGUGUUUAAAUUAUGCUGGGGUUUUUUUGCAGUGAAGGAAGAGCAAAGAUAAAUAGAGUUUUGCAGCAGUCGCUAUGUUCAGACAUUAAUGGUGAAUCUGUAAGGUCAUUUUUUAUUUGCAAAAUACAGACACAGCAGCAGUCCAAUCAAUUUUCAGUAAUUGAAAUUUCAUGCCCGAGCUCUGAUAUCCACUGCCAUUUUGUGAAUGCAUAAAAUUUCACAUUUUCUGUAGAAAUAUAUAUCCAAAUUUCACACUGGAAUAACACUAGGAAGUUUUGUUUUUUAAUUACAAUAUUGUGCAUUGUCAGAUUUCUGCGGCGGAUUCAUCUCUUGGUUGAGAUGAAGUAUGAAGAUAAUUUUUUGGACUUUCUAUUAAGUACUGUAACUGAAGUACUUUCAUCUUUCACCACCACCAACUGAUCCAAACAGGACCAUCUCAGUAGUGGAUUGUCAAGAUCAACUUAAGUUAGCUGUACUGUCCCUUGCUGUUUAACAAGUUAUUUAGAGUAUAGAACAGUUCAACACAGGACCAGGUUCUUUAGUCCAUGAUAUCUGUAUCAAAUAUGAUGCCAAAUUAAAAAAUUCUGUAUUUCCUGCACAUUAUCCAUAUACUUCCAUUCCCUACAUAUUCAUGUGUAUAACAGCCUCUUAAACACCGCUCUCAUAUCAGCUUUCACCACUCUGUUCAACAGCUUGUUCCAUCCACCAAAUGCACUGUAUUUAAAAAGAAAAAUUAUCCUGCACAACUUCUUUAAACAUUCCCUCUCACCUUAAAUGCAUGCUCUCUAGUACUUGAUAUUUGUGCCAUGGGAUAAAGAUUCUCACAUUCUAUCCUUUCUGUGCCUUCUAUGUUCUUAUAACCUUAUAUCGGGUCUUCCCUCAGUCUCUGAUGCUCCAGAAGAAACAACCUACAUUUGUCCAACCUUUCCUGGUAAACCUCUACUACAUCCUUUACAAAGGCUGUAUAUCUUUUCUGAAAUACAUUAAAAUGAUGUAACAAUGUCCUCCCCAAAUGAAUGCUAACAUUCCAUUUGGCUUCUGUAUCACUGACUCAACCUACGUGUUAACCUUUAGGGAAUCUUAUACAAGGACUCCCAAGAGCCUUUGCACCUGAUUUUUUUUCUCUCUCUCUCUGUUCAGAAAAUAAUCUAUGCCUUAUUUCCUUCCACCAAAGAACAUGGACAUACACUUCCCUACAGUAUGUACCAUUUUACCAGUUAUUUGCCCAUUCUCCCAAUCUCUCUUAGUCCUUUUGCAGAAUCCCUGCUUCCUGAACACUACCUGCCCCUUCAACUAUUUUUGUAGCAUCUGCAGACUUAGCCACAAAACCAUCAAUUCUGACUUUUUUCCAUGUCUUUGCCUCCCGUCAGUCAGCCCAAUCUUCUAUCCACGUUAGUAUUUUCCUGCAAUACCAGGGGCGCUUAUCUUGGUAAGCAGCCUCAUGUGCGGCACCUUGUCAAAGGCCUUCUGAAAAUACAAGUAAACAGUAUCCACUGACUUUUUAGUUAUCCCGCCUAUUAUUUUCUUAAAGAAUCCCAACAGAUUUGCCUGGCAAGAUUUCCAUCAAAUAAACCAGACUGCCUUUGGUCUCUUUUAUAGCACACCUCCAAGUACUCUGAAACAUCAUCCUUAUUAAUGUUGUUCUGCCUCCCCCCUUCUUAAAGAGUGGAGUGACAUUUGUAAUUUUACAGUCUUUUGGAACCAUUCUGGGACCUAAUGAUUCUGAAAAGAUCAUUACCAAUGCCGCCACGAUCUCUUCAGCUACCUCUUUCAGAAACCUGGAGUGUUGUCUACCUGUUCCUGGUGACUUAUCUACCUUCAAUCCUUUUAGCUUCACAGGCACCUUCGCCUUAGUAAUAGAAAAGACACUUGCUUUUGCCCCCCCCCCCACCCUGAUACUCUUGAAUUUACAGCAUACUGCUAGUGUUUUCCACAGUGAAGACUGAUGCAGCAUACUUACUAAAUUUGUCCACCAUUUCAUUGUUCUCUGUUACUACCUAUGGUGUCAUUCUUCAGUGGUUUAAUAACUUCUCUUGCCUCUCUUUUAGUCUUUAUAUAUCUGAAAAAGAAAUGGUAUUCUUGUAUAUUAUUGGCUAGCCAUCAUAUUUCAUCUUUUCUCUCCUUAUGGCUUUUUUAGUUGUAUUGUGUGUUGGUUUUUAAAAGCUUCCAAUCUCCUAAUUUCCCACUAAGCUUUGCUAUAUUAUAUGCUCUGUUUUGCUUUUAUGUUGUCUUUGACUUACCUUAUCAACUACAGUUGUGUCUUCCUCCCAUUAGUUUUCCUCUUCAUCUUUGGGAUCUGUCAAUCUUGUUCCUUCCAAAUUAUUCCCAGAAGCUCCAGCCAUUGCUGUUCUGUUGACAUCCCAGUUAGAGUCCCCUUCCAAUCAACUUUGACCAAGUCUUCUCUCAUCCCUCUGUAAUUCCUUUUACUACACUGUAUUACUGAUACUUCAAGCUUCAUCUUCUCCCUCUCAAACUAGAGGGUUAAUUCUAUCAUGGUCACUAGUUCCUGAAGGUUCCUUUACCUUAAGCUCCCUAAUUAUAUCCAAAACCCAAUCCAGAAUUGCCUUUCCUCUAUUGGGCUAACCACAAGUGCACUAAAAUACAUUCUACAAAUUCCCUCUCUUGGAAUCCAGCACUAAUCUGAUUUUCCCAACCUACAAUACAUGCAUAUUGAUAAUUGUUUAUGACUAUCAGAACGUUGUCAAUUUUACAAGCCUUUUCUGUCUCCCAUUGUAAUUUCCUGGUUAUUGUGCAGAGGCCUGCAUAUAACUCAUAUCAGUGUCUUUUUUCCGUUGCAGUUUCUUAACUCUACCCACAAGGCUUCUACAUCUUCCAAUCCUAUGUCACCUCUUUGUAAGGAUCUGAUUUCAAUUUUUACCAAUAGAACCACCCCAUGCCCUCUGCCUACCUGCCUAUCCUUUCAGUACAAUGUGUCUCCUUGGAUGUUAAGCUCCCAACUAUGAUCUUCUUUCAGCUAUGACUCAGUGAUGCCCAGAAAAUAAUACCUGCCAACCCCUAACAAUGCUGCAAGUUCAUCUACCGUAUUCCGUGCAUUCAAGUAUAACACCUUCAGUUUUGUAUUCAUCACCUUAUUCAUUUUUCCCCCAUGUUACACUUCAACUCAUCCAAAUGACUGCAGAUUUGCCCUAUCAUCUUCCUUGCAAACUCACUACACACUGCAUCAAUUUGCAUACUAACUGCUCCAUCCUCAGCCCUAUCACACUGGUUUCUAUCUCCCUGCCAAAUUAGUUUAAGCCCACCUCCACAGCUCUAGUAUACCUGACCAUGAGGAUAUUGAUCUUCCUCAGUUUCAAGUGAAACUUGCCCUUUUUGUACAGGUCAUACCUUUCCUAGAGAUCCCAUUGAUCCAGAAAUCUGAAACUCUGCCUCUUGUACCAAUUCCUUAGCCACUCAUUCAUCUGCCAAGUUGUCCUAUUCUUACCCUCACUGGCACAUGGCAUGGACAGAAAUCCAGAGAUUACAAUCCUGGAGGUCCUGCUUCUCAGUCUCCUACCUAACACACUAUUUUCUACAACCAUUCUGUUCUUGAUUGUACAUUGUCCAUCUCUGAUUUUCCCCUCUUUCUUGAUCUCCCUGUAAGUCCGCAAACUUUCACAGCUACUUUGAUCUUGCCUUUAGUUCAUGUGAAGGACCGAUUCACUUGUAUGUUUUCAAUUUUAGAGUUUUGCUUUUGGCUUUCCCAAUGUAGUCUCCUCAAUGCUGGAUAGAACAAAUGCAGUUUGGCUGACAGCUUUGCACAAAAGUUCCUUUCAAUGAGGAUUCUGUCACUUUAAAUCAUCACUCCAUUCCCACUCUGCCUUAUCUGACUGUGUACAGUGAAGGCCAAAUUAUCUUGAGGAACAGUACUUAAUCUUCUGAUGCAGACACCAAAGCCUCGAGGAUGUAAUAUCAAAUUCAAGAACUUGGCUUGUAUCUAAACUGUAAGGUGAUUCCUCUGUCAUAGUAACUCAUAUUUUCUCACUUCACAGUCACUACCUGCUCUGCUAAUUAUUUUCAAUAUACCCUUCUAGGUUCUCUGCCAUAGUAAUAACUCUGACCUGCAUCUCACGGCUCUUAAAUGGCCCUUUGUUUGAUUUCCUUUAACAACUCUUGCAACAUAUAAUCACAAUAGUUCCAAAACAGCAGAAUAACAUCUGCACAUCUGAAAUGGUUUUAUUUAUCCCAAGCCCACCUUCUCCACAAAUUAGAUCUACUUUGUUUUCUCAGUUCUGAUGAAGUGUUUGUUUUUGCUGAAGUUACCUGACCUGAUGGAUGUUUCUAGUAUUUUCCGAAGAAAUAACCAGAGGUAUUUCAUUCAUAUCUUUAUUAAUGUUUUUCUCCUGUACAAAAGAAUGGAUACUCACAAAAUGUUUGAUAACACAGUCCACGGUGUGAAUGUGCAAAAUAAAAUGGAGCUUGGCUUGUUUCAGAAAGGCUUGGCUCAUUUAUAAGGAUUGACUGAAAUACCACAGGUGUGUUUUCAUGCAAUUUGACGUAGGGCAAUGUAACAACUGGAUUCUUGUAAAAUUGAAAGUUCUAUUCGAAUGGAGGUAGGUGAGAACUUAACAGAUCUACACUCAAAUUAAUAACCCUAAUAAAGAAAACAAAAGGAUACUUAAGCAGUAUUAAUUCAAAGUAGGAAUCUGGAAAAACAGAACUAUUAUUUGCAUUUAUAAUAUGACUGAAAUUGAAAUGGCAAAGUAUUUGAGAGUGAUUAUUGAUCAAACUAUGAAAGAAUACAUCAGUUAUGAAGAAGUAAAUAAGUUUUGGGAUUCGUGUGAAGGAGAUUAAAAUCAGGCAUGUUCUACUGACGUUUUAGUGUAAUUCAAUUUUGGAGAUGCCAGAGACUACAGAUGUUAGAAUCUGGAACAUCUGAGGGGUGGAGGGUUUGGAGAGGAAUUGGUGAUGUUUUGGAUUGAAUCCUUACAUCAGUCAGUUUUACCUCAAUGAUUUUUUUUUUUGCUCAUCCUACCACAAAAGAAAUAUACAGAUUUCUGUAAAUAAAAUGUGAAAUCAAUAUCAGAGAUAGGUCUAGGAUUUAAGAGCCAGUCUAUGGAAUAUCUCCAAGGAAUUUUAUGUACUUUCAAGAGAAGACCAAGGAAGUUUGCAGAUAUAAAACGUGCCGUUCUAUUCAUUGGAUUUCUAGUUGUGUUAUCUCCAUAAUGGUUGCCUCAACAAAUUCUAUUCUCCUGAUCAUGUUCUCUUUCUCGUGAUAGUCCUCAUUUACAUACAUAAUUUUGCUUAAAAAAGUUUAGUCGUGCCAGAGAGCUCCCAUGUUCAAAUAACAUUUUAAAAAAAUCCUUAAAUAUGUCCAUGAUUAUCUUAUUUUUCAUUGCAUUAGUAACCAUAUUGGCUAGUGGAAUUAAACAGUUAUAAAGUCACUUGUUACGUUCUGGUGGAAAAAGUCUAAUUUCUCUUCCUUCACCAUUGUGUUUUCACAAUGAAUCUACGUGGCAAAUUUUAAAUUGCAUUCAUAGUAUUUUAUUUUCAAAAUGAGGUGGCUGUACUAUACAUAGUACUUCAGUUAUGAAUUAAUUAAGCUCUUCUGAAAGUUUAUCCUUAUUUCCUUGCGUUUAUAUUUCUUUUCUGCAGGAGGAAAUAAAAAUUUAUUUUCAAAGUCUGAUUUACUACAAUUCUACCUGCAUAUUUACCUGCAAGGUGUUAUUCUAGAUAAAAUCUUGCCUCAUGAAUUGUUUGUUUCUUCCUUUUUAACAUGUUGUUUAAUAUAUUUUACUUGGGAAUUUUUUUUCAGUCUGUUCACCUAUACCAUAAACCUAUUAUUUGCAUGCAGCCUCUCACUAUUAUGACCCAUAGUCUUGCCCUCCAAUUUGGUAUCGUCAGUAGCAUUCAAUAUUUAAUUUUAAUUCCAUAUUGCGGAAAUAAAAUGAACAAGAUCAAGAACAUCUAUUUGGCAGCUUUUUGCACAAGAAGUGGCUUUUCCUGUACUCUUUGUGUGUAGCCCUCCAUGUAUUUCUGUCUAAGACACCAUUUUGUACAUCAACAUAGGAUGUCAAUCCAGAAACAAAUUAGAUAACUAAAUUUAUCAAUAGGAUGGGAUGAAAGAACUGGUUGCAACAUUAAUAAGGCUUGAGCAAGGAAAGAGACUAGGAAACAUAUUUUUGAAAAAUUCUCUUUAGAACAGAAAAGAGAAUCAAUCAAAAGUUGGUCAACAUGUUCUAAAGGGAGAUAUUUCAACAGCCAUCGAGAAGAGCGGUGGGUCAUCUAGUACUAAUAUCAUUCUUUUGACAUUUGCCAGAAAUGAUGAGGGAAGAAAUGUAUUUUUCCUUAAAGUAGUCACAGCUAUGCCCAUCAUUGAUGGAUUUAAUCUCUGGGCUGAUUCACAUUUGCAGGUUUUCUUGUGUUCCAUAAUUUCUUGAAGAAUUCAACUGUAUUUCAGGCUAUUUUCAAAUUUAGAGAUUUUGAAAAAGAGUCCUCCAGGUUGGGGUAGUAUCUAGCGAUUCAUUAGAAUAGAGAAAAAACUCUACACUCUGAAUGCCUGUGAGUACCACAGUAAUGCACCAUUUGAUGAACUUUCCAUUGUGAAGCACUAACCUUCUCUUGGGCAAGCUGACUAAAAUAGAUAACAAAGUGAAGCAACAGGACUGAUCAAUCUGCAGCUCACCCACACCAUUAUACUAUGCAAAUAUUGUAAGUACAUCUGUAAAGGUAUAUUAAUAAACCUGUGAAAUUUCAAAUUAGUCUUUCAUAAUUGAUUUCUAUAGAAAUCAGAGGAAUGUCUAUUCCAAAAAUGUGUGAAAUAGAUAAAAAAUUUGUCUCAUGGAACAAACUCACGUUCACAGCAUGUUUGAUUUCUUCCACUGUGGCUCCACCACACCCACCUUAACUCCCACAGGAAAAAGUUCGGUGACAAAACCAUGUGAUAAUUUGUAUUCUGUUUUAGACUUUUCCCCAAUUCCCAGUCAGAUAUUUAAGAGUCUUUUUGAACAUGUUCUUCUUCAUACUCAUCUCUCAAAGUCAUGGAUCUUUCCAUUGGCAGGUUUAAUAGUAACUGUGACAUCUUCAAAGGUGUUAAGUUGAGAAUGGCAAGGAAAAUAAAUGAGUAGAAAGGACUCGGCAGUCUCUGGAGAAAGCUGGAAUGUUAUUGCCCUUAACAGGACUACAGCCCCAAAGUCACCACUGCUGAAGCAACUGUUAACUUCUGAGUUUUUUUACAUAUCAAUUAGGUAAAGAAUAGUUUGGAAGUAUUUCCACUAAAGCACAAGCUCUAUCUUCAUCACCAGAAAAAAGUAACAAAGUCUGUCGUAUAUUGUGAAUCAUCAGAUAUUUUUAUUUCAUUAAUUCUGCUGUGUUUUGACCCGCUGAGUUUGCAGUGCAUGGCAGGCAUCACUGCUCUUCAUUACAUGUACAUUAUAUAGGUGUCCCUCGGUGCAGAGAUAAAACACAUGGUGCUUCUUUCAUCUGUCCUUCAUUUUGCAGUUGAAAGAGCAAGAAUGUUGAAUUGAACUCUGGACACUUAUUUAUUCAUUUUUUAAUGUUCAUUUUAAAGAGCAGCAGAUGGAUUUAGCAAAGAGAAUAUUUUAGCCUUUGCAAACUCUGGCAUUACUGAGACUGCCCUCAACUGGAUGUGGAUAAAUUAUACCCUUUCUACAGUUUAAGGCCAGCACCCAGAAACAAGAGCUCUACCAUCUGAGAGGAAGAGAAAAAGAACUGAUUACCUAGAAGAACUACUUUCAAGCUUCCAAAGUAAGUGAGCUGUUUAAUCUAUCUGCAUUUUUUCUUGAUUUGAGAGUUUAUAAGUAUGUGUGCUUAUUGCUUAAACAAAACAGAACCUUUGUUAUAGCCUAGCUAUAUGAAUGAAUGAGCAGGCAGACCAUACACAACAAGACAAUGUCAGAUUUUGUCCCUUCUCUGUGCUGAGUUAACUGAUCUCGGUUUUAUUGCAGAAGAGAAAAUAAGCAGUGCUCUCUGUUCAUGAUUGUAUCCAAUUUCUCCUAGUGAACAUGAAUGUGGCUGCAUGGCAAGGUCAAACAGAUUGAUGACACACACUUUCUAAGAUAACAACUAAUACUGUAGAUGUCCACAUGUGCUGAUCAUAGAACACUCAGAGAAUCAUUCAUGUGAUGUAAUUGAAUAAUAGAUAAUGGAUCUCAUCAAAAGUUGCAUGGUUAAAAAGACUUGCAUUUAUAUGGCCAGUUUUACAUCCUACUUAGAAUUCCCUGAAUGCAUUGAAAUGUGGCAGCUGGUUUAGGUGAAGCAAGACGCCACCAGCACCAAUGUGCUCGUAAGCAGGUAGGUUUUUUUUCAUAACUUUAAAUGAAGGAUAAGUACUGGUCAAGAAACCAGGAAUAACACCUCUUCUCUUCUCUUCAGAAUUUUGCCAUUAGAUUUUCAUUUGCAUCUCAGAAAGCCAGAGGAGCCUUGGUCUAACAUUGUAUCUAAACGAGCAUCUCCAGCGCUGCCUCAACAUCCUGCUGGAAUGUCGACGCUUUUUGGACUUCUGUGUGUGUGCUUCUGGAGUGGGUCUGUUCAGAGACAAGACUGUGACCCAUUGACCACAUUUGAGAAAGCUCACUCUUUUGAGUUUCUUAAUUUGUACUUUUAUAUAGUUCCAAAAUACCUGAGACUGCAUUAUGUCAUGAGAAAGCCUAUAUAGAACAAGAUGUCCCUUGAAGAAUUUUAGAUAAAGUACUAAACUGCUUGAAGUAACUGGUUCAGAUUGAAUCUCUGCAGUAUAACAUCAGUCUUCCUCUUUGGCUUCCUUUUUAGAUCAAGGGUUCCCAGCCUGGGGUUUGCGGCCCACUCAGUAAGGCUCUAUGGCAUAAAAAAAAGAUGUUUUAACUAAUCAUCCCAAAGUGAAGGAGAAUGAAUACUCCCAAUAUACAAAGAUAUCACCAAUAAAAUGUUUGUAUGGUUGGCUGAGAUGCUCUGGUCAAAUAAUGUUUGAAUGAGAGGAUAUUGUCUUUCAUAACUAGGACUGUUAUUGUGUUAAAUAAUGGCUCCAGUCUUUAGAACUUAUCAAUCCCUAAAACAAACUUCAGCCAUUAUUUAGUUCAUCCACAGAAAGAGAAAUUUCAGUUGGUUAUCUUUCUCUAUAACUGGCUAUAGAGAUUCCUAGAUAAAAGAAAAUCUGCAGAUGCUGGAUAUCCAAAGCAAUGCACAAAAAUUGCUGGAGGAACUCAGCAGGCCAGACAGCAUCUAUGGAAGAGAGUAAGCAAUUGACAUGUCAUGCCGAGAUCCUUUUUCGGGAAACAAAGAAUCCCAGCUUCAGAGAGAUUCACAGACAAAUAACAACCGUUCUUUGUUCCGUAUAGAUUUCUGUAGACAGUCAUUGUUCCAUUUUCCAGGAAGAUUCUCACAGACUUGCAGCUGAUACUCUCUAUUCCAGAGAGAUACCCAUUGAUUGGCAGGCCCAUUCCUUUUUCCAGAGAGAAUCACAAGAUUGACAGCUGUUGUUCCCUUUGCUACAGAGAUUCCACAAACCGACAGCAAUGAUUCCCAUCUCCAGAGGGAAAAGUAACGUGGAGUGCCAAUACUUGUCAUUUUUGAUUUCGAUGCAAAAAGACCAGUGUCAGCAGCAGCUAAAGAAGAUUUUAAUUAAAUCAUCACUUGCAUUUUGCUAAAGCAAACUAAAUCAUAUGGUGAUCCAAGCCAUUCAUUUAUAAGUAAAACAUUUAUUAAAUUAUUUGUUUCUGCUUGAAGACAAAUGGUGCAAAUUAUAAAUUCAUUUGAAGUUGAUAUAAUUAUGAUUAAAAAUUGCAGCUGAUAAUUACUGAUAUCCUAAAACCUCAUUCUUGAUUUUUAAAAAUCAACUUGUUAACAAUUUUUCUAAAAAAAAAACAGUUUCUUUCAUUUCAGCCAUGGCACAGCAGUCCUUGGCUUGUGUUGCAUCAGUAUCAGGCUCUCGUGUAUUGAUCAUCCGUGUUUUGUGUGUUCUUCAGAUUAAUUUUCUGGUUCCACUAUUUUUCCAUGCAGCCACAGCUAGUAGAUUGAAGUACAAAUAUAUUAAAAGUAAAAGGUAGUUAUGGAUCUGCCUCAUACCAUGUCCAGUUUUCCUUGCAGAAACAGAAGAUUUGUCCCUUUAAGUACCUUGGUAAUGUAUCCAAAUGAUUCUAAUGGAAUGCUGCUAAGGUUCUAUUAGUAGUGAUGGUUACAGGCGCUUCAGGUAUCUUACUACACAUGCUACUUGCGUCAUUUGCACAGAGAUGAUAAUAUCAAUCUUCCCAGAUUGCUAUGUGAGAAAGCAAAAAAAAAAAAUAGUGCAGGUCACCUCAAUCUGAAAUGGAUAUAGAAAACACUGGAAAUGCUUAGCAAAUCAGAUGUCCUCUGUGCAAAGGAAACAGUGUUAACAUUUCAGAUUUUAUAGAAGGUCAUCUCUUUCCACAGAUGCUACCUAGCCUCCAAGGAUUUCCUAGCAUUUCCUUUCUUAUUUCAUAAUUCUAUAGCAGCAGUGUUAAUUUACAAAAAAGAUAAUUAAUUUGAUUUUAUUUGCAUUGUCCAUUCCAGACUCUAUGGGUCCCCUCCUAUCAACUACUAUUAUGAAGGAGAAGGUGUUCGGGAAGCUGAAAAGUCUGAAGGUAGAUAAGUCACAUGAUCCAGAUGGACUACACCCUGAAAGAAGUAGAUUAUGGAGGCGUUAGUAAUGAUCUUUCAAGAAUCACUAGAUUCUGGAAUGUUUCUGGACACCUGGAAUAUUACAAAUGUCACUCCACUCUUUAAGAAGGGAGAGAGGCAGAAGAAAGGAAAUUAUAGGCCAGUUAGCCUGACUUCAAUGGUUGGAAAGAUAUUGGAACCUUUUAUUAAGGAAGAGAUUUCUGUGCACUUGGAGAUGCAUGAUAAAAUAGGCCACAGCCAACAUGUUUUUCUCAAGGGGAAAUCUGUUGGAAUUCCCAAAGGGAAUAAUAGGCAGGAUAAAUAAAGAAGAGUCAGUGGACAUUGCUUAUUCGGAUUUUCAGGAGGCCUUUGACAAGGUGCCGGACAUGUGACUGCUUUACAAGAUGAGAGCUAAUAGUAUUUUAGGAAAGGUACUAACAUGAGGUGAAUUUUGGCUAAUGGGAAGACAGCAGAGAGUGGGAAUAAUGGGGGUCUUUUCUGUUUGGCUGUCGGUGACUAAUGUGCUGCUGGAGUUGGUGUUGUGACUGUUUCUUUUCACAUUAUAUGUUAUUGAUUUGAAUGAAGGCAUUGAUGGCUUUGUGGCCAAGUUUGUCAAUGAUAUGAAAAUAGGUGGAAGAACAAGUAGGGCUGAGGACGCAGGGUAUCUGCAGGAGUUCAACAGAUUGGGGAAAUGGGCAAAAAAACUGGCAGACGGAAUAUAGUGUUGGGAAGUGUAUGGUUCUGCACUUUAGCAGAAGGAAUAAAUGGGUGGACUAUUUUCUAAGUGGGGAGAAAAUUCAAAAAUCAGAGGUGCAAAGGGACUUUGGCGUCCUUGUGAAGGAUUCACUAAAGAUUAACUUGCAGGCUAAAUCAAUGGUAAGGAAGGCAAAUGCGGUGUUAAUAUUCAUUUCAAGAGGAUUAGAAUAUAAUGCUGAGACUUUAUAAGGCAUUGGUCAGAGGGCACUUGGAGAAUAGCGAGCAGUUUGGAGUCCCUUAUUUAAGAAAUGAUGGAUGUGGAGAAUAUGCUUCCAAUAGUGGGUGAGUCUAGGACCAGAGGGCACAGCCUUAAAAUUGAGGGAUGACAGUUUAGAAAAAAAAGAUAAGAAGAGAUUUCUUUAACCAGAGUGUGGUGAAUUUGUGAAAUUAUUGCCAUUGACAGCUGUUCAGGCCAGGACAUUGGGUAUAUUUAAAGCCAAGCUUGAUAGGUUCUUGAUUAAUCAGCACGUGAAAGGUUAUAGGGAGAAGGCAGGAGAAUGUAGAUUAGAGAGGUAAUAAAUCAGCUAUGAUGGAAUGAUGCAGCAGACUUGAUGGCCAAAUGUGUUACUUCUACUCCUGUGUCUUAUCAAACUGUUCAUGCCCAAGAAUGUGUGAUUCUACUGAUAGUAGCUUUUCAGCAUGCAUGAUCUAAUAACAAGCUUUGUUUUUCUUUAACAUUAAAACAUAGCUUACUGUGAUUGAUUAUUGUAUGUUAGUUCAAGUUCAAAUUUAUUGCCAUUCAGCUGCAUACAUAUAUACUGCCAAAUGAAACAAUGUUCUUCCAGACAAAGGUACGCAACAUAGUACAUAUAAUAUUUGACACACAAACAACACAAAGGUAAUAUUACCACAAGUGAUUGAACAAUUAAUAAGGUGCAUUUAUGACACAAGUCAAAAAGCAAACAGUAUACUCAUGGACUGGCAUUUCAUACAUGAUGAUGAGACCUUGAUGGUGGCAGGGAGUUCAGUGGUCUUACGACUGGGGGAAGAAGCUCUUCCCCAUGGUAACAGCCCUCAACCUACUGCUAUGGUACCUGAUGGUAGGGGGGUCAAAGGAUUGUUGGACAGAUGGGAAAGAUCAUUGAAAAUAUUAAAGACUCUGCAUAUUCAGUAUUCCUUAUAAAUAUCUCAGAUGGGUGGAAGAGAGACCCUGAUGAUCCUCUCAGUGGACCUCACAAUCCUUUGUAGGGUCAUGAGAUAAGACCCCUUGUAAAUCAUGUGAUGGAGCUGGUCAGGACACUUUAGAUGGUGCUCUAGUAAAAAUUGGUUAGAAUGGGGAGUGGGUUGGGCCUCCCUUACCUCAAUCUCCUCAGGAACUGGAGAUGCUGCUGUGGUUUCAUGGCUAAAGAGGUGGUGUUGAGGGACCAGGUGUGAUUAUCCAUUAUGUGCACUCCCAGAACCCGGUGCUUCUUACUCUCUCCACGGAGGAGCUAUUUGUAUGCAAUGAGGAGUUGUCAACCUGCACCUUCCUAAAGUUCACAAUCAUCUCUUUGGUCUUGUCCACACUGAGACUCAAGUUGUUGUGCUCAGGCUACUCCACCAACUGCUCUACCUCCUUUUAUCGGUACACCAUUUUGUCUUUCUCAUUGAUGAGGCCAAACACUAUUGUGUCAUCGGCAGUCUUGCUGAUUCAGUUUGACCAGAUCUAGCAGGUCAGUCAUGUGUGUCUGCAGCAGGCCAAACACACAGCCCUGGAAGUUCACCAGUGCUCAGCAUCAUGGAGCUACAGAUGUUGCUGCCAACCUGGACUGACUGUGGUCUUUCUGUGAAGAAGUCCAAGAUCCAGUUACAGAGAGAGAUGCUGGGACCCAACAAGGACAGUUUAUCCAUCAGCUCCUGAGUGUUGACUGUAUUGAACACUAAGCUGAAGAUGAUAAACAGCAUCCUGGUGUAUGAGGCAUCAUUUAAUUACCCCAGUAAGUACUUCAGUUGUGUAUUUUAAGUUACUUUCAAUAACUUAACUUUUUUUGAAGUGGUUUAUUUUUCUGUUGUGCAUUUUUAGCUGGAUUUUUUUUUAAUGGACUUGAUUACCAGAGUUACUUAGAGUAUUGUUUUUAAUAGCGAAAAAC